GGGUUACAUGAAUGUAGGUCAACGCGGCGGAAUGGCCUCUAAUGCGGACUUUUAAUCCGUUGGUCGCGUGUUCGAGUCACGCACGACCCACCA
rnacentral:tRNA from 1 species